AGAUUCUGCAAGGUCCUUUGAUGAACCUGAUGGAGAUGCUGGUGCUAUCCCGAAAUCUGGAAGACAACGAUCUGCAAGUUUUUCGAGGAAGAACUCUGGAGUAGGCAAAGCAACUUCACCAGGGCCGGGAUCUAAAACCAGGCGUUCGGCCUCCUUUAAACGUCAAUUGGUUACUGCGUCAUCUGCACCAG